rnacentral:rRNA from 1 species
AGAGAUGGCUGCCUAAAAAGCACCAGAUCCCAUCUGAUCUUGGAAGCUAAGCAGAGUCAGUCCUGGUUAGUACAUGGACAGGAAUCAUCCAAUGAACACGAGGUACUGCCUGCU